UGAGAGGGGGAAAAUGGCGUCGGGGAGGAACCACCAGCAGGAAGAUGGCGAGCAGCUGAGGAAGAUGGUGGCAGAGGGGAAGAGGCAGCUGUCCACUCUGAAUCUUUUGGAUUCUGGUUGCAAAGGAACACAGAAUUGAAUUUUGGCUUGGCAGUCGAAAAGAAUUUCGCUUCAUUUUGAUCACAUAAUUUCCUUCCCUGCGUUGGUAGCUUCACAAGAUGAGUAUGGAAUUACUGUCACAGCUACUCAUUCUCAUUAGGCUGUAAAUGCAGCCCUGCCCCAAAAGGACCUCCUAUCAAGUCUGCUAUUAAAAUACCCAAAAACUUUAGAGCCAGAAGUGGCUUAAUCCUCCCGAUGUUGUGCUGCCUCAAGAUGAAGAAUGGCACAGCAGGCAAGACUGCAGAAAGGGAUGGGGUAUUCCUGGCUUUCUGGGAGCUGCAAAAAUGGAAGCCAUUGAAUUUCUGGUGCAACUGGGAAGGGCAAGGAAUAGUCUUGGUGAAAUUGCGCAUGAGGAAGUAAAGAGAAAUCAAACUCAAUGAAAGCACUCUACAAAGCCAGAGAUUUGGCUUCUUUUAUACUGCAUUCAUAAAAACUGCUCUGAGUUGGGGCAGGCAGUAUAUGAAGGAGCAAGGUCUUCCUCCCCAGCUAGAGAGGAGCAAGCUAGCUACACUACUUUCAAACACUAGAAAGCAACACACUGCAUACAGGCAAUAUGUUAUUCCUUCUCGUCAUGGUACAGAAAAGGAUAGCAUCAGACCCCUUGGCAAAAAUCUGAUUAAGCACAUUAUUACAAUUCUUUAUAAUGCGUGUGAACUACUGCUGGGAC